UACGAAGGGGGCUAGCGUUGCUCGGAAUCACUGGGCGUCAAGCGCGUGUAGGCGGCUUUGCAAGUCGGGUGUGAAAGCCCUCAGCUCAACUGAGGAAGUGCGCCCGAAACUGCAGAGCUUGAGUGCCGGAGAGGGUGGCGGAAUUCCCCAAGUAGAGGUGAAAUUCGUAGAUAUGGGGAGGAACACCGGUGGCGAAGGCGGCCACCUGGACGGUAACUGACGCUGAGACGCGAAAGCGUGGGGAGCAAACAGG
rnacentral:rRNA from 1 species